GAUGAACGCUGGCGGCGUGCCUAAUACAUGCAAGUCGAGCGAACGGACGAGAAGCUUGCUUCUCUGAUGUUAGCGGCGGACGGGUGAGUAACACGUGGAUAACCUACCUAUAAGACUGGGAUAACUUCGGGAAACCGGAGCUAAUACCGGAUAAUAUUUUGAACCGCAUGGUUCAAAAGUGAAAGACGGUCUUGCUGUCACUUAUAGAUGGAUCCGCGCUGCAUUAGCUAGUUGGUAAGGUAACGGCUUACCAAGGCAACGAUGCAUAGCCGACCUGAGAGGGUGAUCGGCCACACUGGAACUGAGACACGGCCCAGACUCCUACGGGAGGCAGCAGUAGGGAAUCUUCCGCAAUGGGCGAAAGCCUGACGGAGCAACGCCGCGUGAGUGAUGAAGGUCUUCGGAUCGUAAAACUCUGUUAUUAGGGAAGAACAUAUGUGUAAGUAACUGUGCACAUCUUGACGGUACCUAAUCAGAAAGCCAUGGCUAACUACGUG
rnacentral:rRNA from 1 species